CCCACAGGAAAUAUAAUCUAAAUAAUAUAACAAACAGAAAAAGAGGAGGAGCUUUGUUUUCCAUGUCAAAUAAACAAAAAUGACUAAAUUCUAUGCUGCUGUUGCUUGGCUGAAGUUUCAGACCAACAGACAGCGGUUUGUUGUGCGUGUAGGUGUGGCGCUGUCAAAGUCGACUCAGCUGAGGAGAUCGAUAGACCGACAGAACACAUCACUUAGUAAGACUGCUUGCUUUUCGUGGUUGUAAAUAGAACUUUUAGGCCUAACUUUAUUUCCCCUCCAUUGUAACAAUCCACAGACAGAAGAGAAACCAUAGGAGAGUUAAAAAGGGACAGUCUUGCAUUGCCAGACCUUCCUCCACAGCACUGCACAGGAGGGUCUGGGUAAUCCACACAUCAUUCACGCCAAGAACCACCCUUCAAUAGCUACUAUUGGCGUCCAUGCUUACAUAAGACUCCACCAUCUGGCUGGCCAGCCUGCGAGGGAUUUUACCCCCAUGAAGAGUGUUGUUAGAGCUGUAGCCAUCCGACGCAGAGGACAACUUGAGCCACCUCUGGGCAGGCUGAUAAUCUAUAAGGGAAGUCUGAGCCUCCUCUGGUGACGUUGGAGGAGUCAGAGUGACAGAGGACAUGGCAGGAUCCCUGUGAGCAGCCUGGCCCUGCUGAGCACCACACAGGCUUCCCGAAGUGUUGACUGAGCCCUGAGGGACCACAGGAGGGAGGUCCGACAGGGGGAGAAGCACCAGGCAGGAAGGGUAAACCAUCCUCACUCCCGCUGCAACCAAACAAAAACCUUUUUUUCCAAAAACGUCUAACUGCAUGCAGAAAUGAAUUGCACAACGCUGUUAAUUGAUAAGUCAUCAUCUUCGUUUCAGUUCAAUCAAGGGUCUCUGGAAGGUUUUCAUGGGCCAAAUAAAAGUUUCCAACUUGCGUUUAACCCCUUCAAAGAGUUUCACUU